AUGGGAGGGGUAGCGACGAUGCUGGCCGCUCUGGUGGAGGACUGGACAGGGGUGGUAGUGAAAGAGCAUAAUGACAUCCCGAUAGGAUCAAAGUCCUAUUGUAUUCACUGUGUGAUCUCUCAUCCUUUUGAAGAACCUGCAUCCAGUGACAUGGGCUUUCAGAUACCCUUCCUCGAGCCACUGCUGGAUCAAAUGGGCUUUGGUCAGUUCAUCCGGGUGGUGGCAAUUCGUGAUGCUUUUGGUUCUCAAAUGGAUGGUGGUGUUACGCCUGCAAGCUUCUUGUGGUUUCAAGUUGAACCUGGCCACCAAGCCCUCCCAACCCUUCAUAAACUCCAGUGGAGAUGA
rnacentral:rRNA from 1 species